UUGAACGCUGGCGGCAUGCUUUACCCCUGCAAGUCGAACGGUAACAGGCCUUCGGGUGCUGACGAGUGGCGAACGGGUGAGUAAUGCAUCGGAACGUACCCAGAGGUGGGGGAUAACGCAGCGAAAGCUGUGCUAAUACUGCAUGUGAUCUGAGGAUGAAAGCGGGGGACCGAGCAGCAAUGUUUGGCCUCGCGCCUUUGGAGCGGCCGAUGUCGGAUUAGCUAGUUGGUGGGGUAAAGGCCUACCAAGGCGACGAUCCGUAGCUGGUCUGAGAGGACGACCAGCCACACUGGGACUGAGACACGGCCCAGACUCCUACGGGAGGCAGCAGUGGGGAAUUUUGGACAAUGGGCGCAAGCCUGAUCCAGCAAUGCCGCGUGCGGGAAGAAGGCCUUCGGGUUGUAAACCGCUUUUGGCAGGAACGAAACGGUGUCCGCUAAUACCGGGCGCUAAUGACGGUACCUGCAGAAUAAGCACCGGCUAACUACGUG
rnacentral:rRNA from 1 species